rnacentral:rRNA from 1 species
GGUGAGCUACCCCGAGACAGCCUAUAUUAAUCUAGGGCUAACCCGUCUCUGUGGCAAAAGAGUGGGAAGAGCUCCGGGUAGAAGUGAAAGACCUACCGAACCUGGUGAUAGCUGGUUGACUGAGAAAUGGAUACAAGUUCAGCCUCGUACACCCCAAACCAAGAAAUGUUAUCGCCAAGAUAUUUAGGGAAACGUACGAGAGUUAGUUGAAAGGGGUACAGCCCUUUUAACAAAGGAUACAACCUUUACAGGAGGAUAAAGAUCAUAAUGUAUAAGAUAUACUGUUCUAGUGGGCCUGAAAGCAGCCACCUAAACAGAAAGCGUUAAAGCUCGGACAGAAAGAAGUUUAUUAUACUGAUAAAAAAUCUUAUUCCCCUAACUAUAUCAGACCAACCCAUGCCCACAUGGAAGAGAUUAUGCUAAAAUGAGUAAUAAGAAGACCCGCUCUUCUCCCAGCACAAGUGUAAACCAGAUCGGACCAACCACUGGAGCUUAACGAACCCAACCCAAGAGGGUAGUGUGACUAAGAGAAAACACGAGAAGACCUCACAUUAAUUGAUCGUUAACCCCACACUGGAGUGCUAUUUUAAGGGAAAGACUAAAAGAAGAGGAAGGAACUCGGCAAACACAAGCCUCGCCUGUUUACCAAAAACAUCGCCUCCUGCAACUAAACUGAGUAUAGGAGGUCCAGCCUGCCCAGUGACUACGGGUUCAACGGCCGCGGUAUCUUGACCGUGCAAAGGUAGCGCAAUCACUUGUCUCUUAAAUAGAGACCUGUAUGAAUGGCUAGACGAGGGCUUAACUGUCUCCCCCUUCCAGUCAGUGAAAUUGAUCUAUCCGUGCAGAAGCGGGUAUAAAUAUACAAGACGAGAAGACCCUUUGGAGCUUAAGGUACAAAUUCAACCACGUUAAACGACUCUGUAAAAGGCAAGAACUUAGUGACAAUGAAAUUUUACCUUCGGUUGGGGCGACCGCGGAGGAAAAACGAGCCUCCGAGUGGACUGGGCCAAACCCCUGAAGCCAAUAGAAACAUCUAUAAGCCGCAGAACAUCUGACCAAAAAUGAUCCGGCUAAAGAGCCGAUCAACGAACCAAGUUACCCAAGGGAUAACAGCGCAAUCCCCUCCCAGAGCCCAUAUCUACGAGGGGGUUUACGACCUCGAUGUUGGAUCAGGACAUCCUAAUGGUGC